CUACGUAGGGAGCGAGCGUUGUCCGGAAUUACUGGGUGUAAAGGGUGCGUAGGCGGGACUGCAAGUCAGAUGUGAAAUACAUGGGCUCAACCCGUGGGCUGCAUUUGAAACUGCAUUUCUUGAGUGAAGUAGAGGUAAGCGGAAUUCCUGGUGUAGCGGUGAAAUGCGUAGAUAUCAGGAGGAACACCGGUGGCGAAGGCGGCUUACUGGGCUUUUACUGACGCUGAGGCUCGAAAGCGUGGGGAGCAAACAGGAUUAGAUACCCUGGUAGUCCACGCUGUAAACGAUGAUUACUAGGUGUGGGGGGACUGACCCCUUCCGUGCCGCAGUUAACACAAUAAGUAAUCCACCUGGGGAGUACGGCCGCAAGGUUGAAACUCAAAUGAAUUGACGGGG
rnacentral:rRNA from 1 species